GACGAACGCUGGCGGCGUGCUUAACACAUGCAAGUGGAGCGACGAACCCGAGCUUGCUCGGGGGCAAAGCCGCGAACGGGUGAGUAACACGUGGGUAAUCUGCCCUGAUGAUUGGGACAACCCCGGGAAACCGGGGCUAAUACCAAAUGUGCUCUUUCCACAUCAGUGGAUCGAGGAAAGGAGGCUUCGGCUUCCGCAUCGGGAUGAGCCCGCGGCCCAUUAGCUUGUUGGUGGGGUAAUGGCCUACCAAGGCUCCGAUGGGUAGCUGGUCUGAGAGGACGAUCAGCCACACUGGGACUGAGACACGGCCCAGACUCCUACGGGAGGCAGCAGUGGGGAAUCUUGCGCAAUGCGCGAAAGCGUGACGCAGCAACGCCGCGUGGGGGAAGAAGGCCUUCGGGUUGUAAACCCCUUUCAGUUGGGACGAAGCUUCGACGGUUAAUAGCCGGCUGGAGUGACGGUACCUUCACAAGAAGCCCCGGCUAACUACGUGCCAGCCGCCGCCGUAAGAC
rnacentral:rRNA from 1 species